UAAUUUAUUCUUGUUUGUUUAGAUGCUGGUCGGUUACUCCUCUUUUUUUCAUCUGGUUCCCAGUUUAGCCUCAAACAGCAAGUGUUCGUUGAGCUGCAGGGAAGCUGGGCCUUUGUCAACAGAAAGGCUAGCUUCCUAAGCAGAAUCCACCUCGACAUGUUGUUUAAUGGCAAGGACCCAUUCUGAAGAACAUGCACUUGGUGAUUUUCCUUCUCAGGGUCUCCUCAGUGCACACACCAAUACAAUCUGGGUAACGUAGUCUAGACACACUGAGGUGACAUAGUACAGCUCUGUUGUGUGCAGGGUGAAUGAAAUCUAAGUGGCACAGGAGGGUAUUUCUUUUGUUUGCUCUUCAAGUAUUCCAAGGAAGAU
rnacentral:lncRNA from 1 species